rnacentral:ncRNA from 1 species
CCCGCUGAGUUUAAGCAUAUCAAUAAGCGGAGGAAAAGAAACUUACCAGGAUUCCCCUAGUAACGGCGAGCGAACCGGGAAAAGCCCAGCUUGAGAAUCGGUCGCCAUCGGCGUCCGAAUUGUAGUCUGGAGAAGCGUCCUCAGCGACGGACCGGGCCCAAGUCUCCUGGAAAGGGGCGCCGGAGAGGGUGAGAGCCCCGUCGUGCCCGGACUCUGUCGCACCACGAGGCGCUGUCUACGAGUCGGGUUGUUUGGGAAUGCAGCCCUAAUCGGGCGGCAAAUUCCGUCCAAGGCUAAAUACGGGCGAGAGACCGAUAGCGAACAAGUACCGCAAGGGAAAGAUGAAAAGGACUUUGAAAAGAGAGUCAAAGAGUGCUUGAAAUUGUCGGGAAGGAAGCGGAUGGGGGCUGGCGAUGCGCCCCGGUCGGAUGUGGAACGGCGAGAGCCGGUCCGCAGAUCAGCUCGGGGCGUGGACCGACGUGGGUCGUGGCGGCAGCCCAAGCCCGGGCCUUUGAUACGCCUGUGGAGACGUCGUCGCCUCGAUCGUGGGAUCUAGCACGCACCGUCUCGAAGUGCUUCGGCACCUGCGUGCUCCUGGCGUCGGCCUGCGGGCUCCCCAUUCAGCCCGUCUUGAAACACAG